GACGAACGCUGGCGGCGUGCUUAACACAUGCAAGUCGAACGGAAAGGCCCGGCUCUUGUUGGGUGCUCGAGUGGCGAACGGGUGAGUAACACGUGAGUAACCUGCCCUUGACUUUGGGAUAACUUCAGGAAACUGGGGCUCAUACCGGAUAGGAGCUCCUGAAGCACGGUGGGGGUUGGAAAAUUUCGGCGGUUGGGGAUUGACUCGCGGCUUAUCCGCCUGUUGGGGGGGUAGGGGCUUACCAAGGCUUUGACGGGUAGCCGGCCUGAGAGGGUGACCGGCCACAUUGGGACUGAGAUACGGCCCAGACUCCUACGGGAGGCAGCAGUGGGGAAUAUUGCACAAUGGGGGGAAGCCUGAUGCAGCAACGCCGCGUGCGGGAUGACGGCCUUCGGGUUGUAAACCGCUUUCGCCUGUGGCGAAGCGUGAGUGACGGUAAUGGGUAAAGAAGCACCGGCUAACUACGUG
rnacentral:rRNA from 1 species